UCCUGGCACAAAGUCUGGGCUGCUG
rnacentral:misc_RNA from 1 species